rnacentral:rRNA from 1 species
GAUGAACGCUGGCGGCGUGCCUAAUACAUGCAAGUCGAGCGAACAGACGAGGAGCUUGCUCCUCUGACGUUAGCGGCGGACGGGUGAGUAACACGUGGAUAACCUACCUAUAAGACUGGGAUAACUUCGGGAAACCGGAGCUAAUACCGGAUAACAUGUUGAACCGCAUGGUUCAACAGUGAAAGACGGUCUUGCUGUCACUUAUAGAUGGAUCCGCGCCGCAUUAGCUAGUUGGUAAGGUAACGGCUUACCAAGGCAACGAUGCGUAGCCGACCUGAGAGGGGGAUCGGCACCACGGGAACUGGGACACGGCCCAGACUCCUAGGGGAGGCAGGAGUAGGGAAUCUUCCGCAAGGGGGGAAAGCCUGACGGAGCAACGCCGGGGGGGUGAAGAAGGUCUUCGGAUCGUAAAACUCUGUUAUUAGGGAAAAAAAAAUGUGUAAGUAACUAUGCACGUUUGGACGGAACCAAAGAAGAAAGCCACGGCUAACUACGU